AUUGAACGCUGGCGGCAUGCUUUACACAUGCAAGUCGAACGGUAACAGGCCUUCGGGUGCUGACGAGUGGCGCACGGGUGAGUAAUGCAUCGGAACGUACCCAGAGGUGGGGGAUAACGCAGCGAAAGCUGUGCUAAUACCGCAUGUGAUCUGAGGAUGAAAGCGGGGGACCGAGCAGCAAUGUUUGGCCUCGCGCCUUUGGAGCGGCCGAUGUCGGAUUAGCUAGUUGGUGGGGUAAAGGCCUACCAAGGCGACGAUCCGUAGCUGGUCCGAGAGGACGACCAGCCACACUGGGACUGAGACACGGCCCAGACUCCUACGGGAGGCAGCAGUGGGGAAUUUUGGACAAUGGGCGCAAGCCUGAUCCAGCAAUGCCGCGUGCGGGAAGAAGGCCUUCGGGUUGUAAACCGCUUUUGGCAGGAACGAAACGGUGUCCGCUAAUACCGGGCGCUAAUGACGGUACCUGCAGAAUAAGCACCGGCUAACUACGUG
rnacentral:rRNA from 1 species